CCUGUGAGGGUUGCUGGAGGUAUCAGAAGUGCGAAUGCUGACAUAAGUAACGAUAAAGCGGGUGAAAAGCCCGCUCGCCGGAAGACCAAGGGUUCCUGUCCAACGUUAAUCGGGGCAGGGUGAGUCGACCCCUAAGGCGAGGCCGAAAGGCGUAGUCGAUGGGAAACGGGUUAAUAUUCCCGUACUUGGUGUUACUGCGAAGGGGGGACGGAGAAGGCUAUGUUGGCCGGGCGACGGUUGUCCCGGUUUAAGCGUGUAGGUGUGUGUUCCAGGUAAAUCCGGUUCACUUUAACACUGAGGCGUGAUGACGAGGCACUACGGUGCUGAAGCAACAAAUGC
rnacentral:rRNA from 1 species